CAAAAUUCGAAAAUAGCUAUCUCACUAUCGCCGCACAUCUUCAAGUCCAAACCAGAUCUGCGCUAACUCCACUUCCCGUUGCCACUCCACGACCAACGCCACCGCCGUCUCCACUCCAGUCGUCGUUCCAUAGCCGCCGUCUUGGAUAGGCAGCUUCGCCAUGUCGGAACGCCGUCGCCACUCCACAGUCGAGACCAACGCUGCCGAUCUACUUCGUCGAGAUCUCCACCACCGCAAACGCUCGUCGAGACCAAUGCUCCCCUGCUCGCCGCUGCCCGCUGUCACCGCAUGCCAGUUUGCUCUCCCUCGUCCGUUGUCACAUAUUUGUUAAUCUUCUUCAAAGCAUCAGAAGCCAAAGGAGAAGGAUGAUAACAAGAUGGAAGGAACUUGUUUUUGACAGUGAUGAGGAACAAUACAUAUGCUUACUGGGAACCCAAGGUAAGUGAUUUUCAAAACAGUAUUCAAAUCUGCCAUUCAUGAACUUCUGAUAACUUUACUUUUUGCAAUGCACAAUAGGUAUUACCCAGAUAAACAUGCUACCUUGGGUUUGAGUUCAGCCUUCUGUUAGACUUUGGCGCUGCUCUCUAUCCAAGAAUAUAAAAAAGUAUAUGUUCAGGAAAUAGGAUAAAAGUGUGGAUAGCACUGUUCUUUUGUUUUGAAAUUGCGUGCUGCAUAGUAAUAGUUGUUAAAGUUUCUUAAAAAUAAAUUAGUUUGUGAUCUAAAAUUUGUUAUGUUCUACGUGAUAGUUGAUAAAGCAAAGCCAGGAUGGUGGAGGUGAUGAGAUUACUUGGAGAAUAUCUCCUGUAAAUGAACAACUGAAUGCUCUGUCAAAACCAGAAAAAUGGUAAUUGUAUGAUCAUAUCCACUAAUUUUUUCUUUUGUGCGCAGAAAUGUACUUAUAGGUAAAAGAGAAGUGUGCAGAACUUCUGCAGUUUCAGAAGCAUACUCUAAAAUGCUUACAGUACUUGUCCCACUACUGGUGGGAUGAGGUUAUCCUUUAAAAUUUUAUCUUUUACUAUGGGAUUUUUUUACCAUGUGCUUGCAUGUGUAAACUUGUGUAUGUGAAUCAUGUUUCGAUUGGUGCCAUCCAUUAUGCUUUUCCUUCUCUA